rnacentral:lncRNA from 1 species
AUGGCUCAGCUGGAACCCUUAUUCCAUCAGAAGAUGACGGUAAUGCCUGCAGCCUGUAGUUUGGCUUUGGAGCCCACUCCUUCCCAGCCUGGAUGCUGCCUUCAACUGUGUUGUAUCACUCUGAAUAAGCUUUGUGCUGCAUCGCAUUGCAGCAAACUGUUGCAUUGCAAACAAAUAGUGUUGCUCAGCACUAAAUCAUCAAACAGUUGAAUUCACUGCUGCUUGUGCCCCUUCUACCUCCACAUGUAAACCUAUAGUUUAAUGUGACCCAUG